UCCCAAAAUUUCCGGGUUUUUUUUCCUUCUUCCGGUCCAAGCCCCGCCCCCUCGGGGGCCGCAGCCAAUCAGGAGCCGCCGGAUCCGCCCGGGAGCCAAUCGGGAGCUUCGGUCCAGCAGGGGGCGGAGUCUGCGGAACCCGCCCGCACCCCGGAGCUUUUCCCGCUCUACACCUGCCAGGACUGCGAGGAUCAGGUGACCUUCGGCUGCCUGGCUUCCGGAUUUUUCCCGUCGCCGGCCGCCAUCACCUGGGAGGGCGUGGCCGAGGGCGGGGCCAGCCGGGAAUUCCCGGAAGUGCUGACGGGCGCCGGCCGCUACGGCCGCAGCUCCCGCGUCACGCUGGGCGUGGCCGAGGCCGAGGGGAGAAACUUCCGGUGCCGGGCGGAGCAUCGGGGGAGCAGCGUCAGCAUCGACGUGGCGGCCUGCCCCGCCCCCCCCCGCCCGGAUUUCUCCGUCUCCCUCCUGAGCGACCCCCACCUGUCCCACCUGGAGCUCCCCCAGGUGCUCCUCCUCUGCCAGGUGAGGGGGCGGGGCUCCGAGGAGGCCACCCUCACCUGGUUGGUCAACGGUGACGUCACCGAGCUGGGGGCGGAGCUCUCCACCUGCCAGGAGGGCGGGGCCGGGGAGGUGACGCUGAGCGGCCGCGUCAACGUCAGCCGGGAAUUGUGGGAGGCGGGAGCCACCUUCACCUGCCAGGCCGGCCACGCCCAGCUGGCCACGCCCCAGAACGCCUCCAUCAGCACCUUCUGCAAAGCUGCCCGCCCCUCCCCUUCCAUCUUCCUCAUCCCCCCCUCCCUCCUUGACCUCUACCUGUCCACCACGCCCAACAUCACCUGCGUGGCCACCAACCUGAAAUCCCCCGAGCCCAAAUUCACCUGGAGCCGCUCCUCGGGCGGGGCCCUGGGCGUGGCCACUUCCGGCCCCGCCCAGAAACUCCCCAACGGCUUCUACGAGGUGCGGAGCCACCUGGGGAUCUGCGCCGAGGAUUGGAACUCCGGCGACACCUUCACCUGCGCCGUCACCGCCGAGGAGCUGGGGCCCACCCCCAUGGUCGGAACCAUCCGGAAGGACACGGGCGCCCCCGCCGUGGCCCCCAAGGUCUUCGUCUUCCCUCCGCCGCCGGAAGAGCUGGCGCUGGCCGAGACGGCCACCUUGACCUGCCUGGCCAGCGGCUUCUUCCCCCGGGACAUCCUCCUCACCUGGACCCGCCAGGACGCCCCCCUGGACCCCCGCGACUACUCCCUGCUGGGCCCGGAGCCGGACGCCGGCGCUUCCGGAACCUUCUCGCUCUACUCCAAGCUGGCGGUGCCGGCCGAGCAAUGGCGGCGCGGCGACGUCUUCACCUGCGUGGUCGGGCACGACGGCGUCGCCGUGAGGUUCAUCCAGAGGAGCCUGGACAGGGCGGCGGCGCGGCCGGCCAGCGUCAACGUCUCGGUGGUGCUGGCCGACUCCGACCUCGUCUGUUAUUGACCAGGAAUUUUCCGGAAUUUUCUGUGAUUUUUCUGGAUUUUU